AAUGGCUUCUGAACACUGUUGGGAAGUCGAUAGCUUAGAGUCCACUAUGACCACCAGUAUUGCUUCCUAUUUGCAGUUCUUUACAUUUGCUUACAUGAAAUAUUAUCUCACAAAUCUGCCUGAGCCUGUAUGCUGUUAACGUCUCUCUGUAACAAUUUAGCAGAGUCUACAUUGUUUUCAAUUGCAGCUUCCUUGGUAUCAUCUGUAAUCAUCACCAUCUUGAGGAUUAUAUUCUUAUUUGGAUGGUUUAUGUAUUUUAAAAACAGCAGCCUCAGCACUGCCUCCUGCUGGACACCUCUUUUAACAUCGCCUAAUUCUAAAAAAGGUCCCCUCACUGCCACAAAGAGCCAUGCAAAGAGCAGAGAAUCAAUCCAUUGCAGCUGACACUUCAAUACUUUCUAAAAAAUCAACUUUGUUAUAUUUUGGAAAAAUUAGGGAAAUUGGAUUAAUGAGUUUCUCAGGAUGAAUGACCUGUUCCCAUCAAAAUUCUUCUAAUGUUCUUUAAAAACUUGGAUGUGGACUAGGAGGUACAGUAGAUUUUUGAUAAUGUGUAGACAGGGCAAGAAAACAAAAGUCCUUAAAAUGAUUCCUUAGGAGAAAAUGAACCAAACUUAAACUGUACUGCUUAAGUAUCAUAAACCUUCCUUUUCCUUUCUGACUCAACACACAAUCAAAAGUUCAUCGAGGAUAGAACAUCCACACAGAUAUGUCUCAGGCUUUCUUCUCACCUCUCUGACUGAACUCUCUGGCUUCUUAAGGCAGUAGCUCCCCUGCUGACUGCUCUGAUUCUCAUAAUCUGAACCACUCGUCUCAGUCCAUGUUGAUCCAAAAUGGCUGUCUACUUUGGUUGUCACCAGUCUCCUAAUAGUAUGGUAUAUUACUCCAUGGACUCCAUCCAUGGACUCCGUCUGUCUUCUUGUUUGAUAUUUCUUUUUGCUGCCCUUAAUCUAUGACAUUAGAAAUAGUCACACACAGCAGAGCUGUUUACUGAUGUUGUCACAACUCUCUCCAUGUUGACAUGGACUUUUAAAGGCCGAUACACAAUUUUCAUUACAGACUUGUGACAAGUUGCUUUGAACAAACUUAGCUUUAGUUGACAAUGAAUUUGUGGUUGGUCAGCAGAGUGUGUUACAUGACAACAUAUCUGUUUAUGAUAUACAUGUUUGGAAUCUGAAAGUAUCGAGAUCAUCAACCAGAAGAAAGCCAUAUGAGCUAAAACAUGGAUUCAACAUACAAGUGAGUAAAGCUGAACAGGAAGAAGAAGAGCUAAGACUCAUAAACAGACACAACAUUUAUAAAGUGAUGUAGAUAAGAAUGAAAGUCUAACCUGUGAGCUCAUUUCAGAUUUAUGGAAUUAUGGCGGUCGACAAAUAAAUAACGAGACAGCUCACAAUGAAACCCCUGGCCAUGUUAAGAUUGAGGUGAGCAGCCAGGCUCUGAAGAAAUGAGGUGCGUAGGAUUGGCGAGUUUGUUGGGCUCAAUGGCUUGUUGUCUUCACAAUUGUUCUGAUGAUUAAAAAAAAAAACGAUGUUUUGUUCUUAAUGGUUUAUGGACACAAGUUGAGCAAAAAGUAAAUUGGUCACAUCUCGAGAGCCCUGAUACAUUUAGGCCACUGACCUGGCUGAUGUUUGAUAUUUUAAAUGCUCAAGUAUUCUUAUUUUCACUAAGAGUGUGUUUCCUGUGUUCGAUUUACAGAUAUGAGUACAACUGUGGAACAUUCAGACAAAACAAUUUACCUGGCAAUAGGACUGCUGGCACUGGUGGCUGUGGUGCUUAUCACACUGAUGAUACCAAUUGUGAGGAUUUGGAGGAGACAAAUGAACUGGUAUGUAAAACCUCACACAUGUGAGCAGGCAGCCUAGCAUGUUCAACUUAUACGGUAGACAUUCAUCGUGUGUGCCAAAGAUGCCCUCAUUCAUAAAAGAAUCCCUUCUGUUUGAUGAAGUCAUCACAAGUCUGCCAUUUCUCUCAGAUUUCUCAGCUCUGCUUUGUGUUAAUGCAGCCAUCAAGAAGGUGAAGCGGGCAUCACAGAGUCUGUGAUGAGGCCAUAAUGCUGACUUUCUAAAUGUUCUCUGUACUCCUGCAUUCAGUCUGAUGUUUGCUGUUGUGAACACCUCAACGUUACACUGCACUGUUAAAAUAUCCUGAAUGCUGCUGCUGUUUUCCACUUACUAUAUUUUAAAACCAUUUCCAUUCAUUUUCUUUUAGUGCCAAGAGAAGACAAUGAUAUUGAAGUGCCACUGCAACAAAGUCCAACAGUGUGUGAAAGAUGAAGGGUAACUUGUGUCACUCUGUGCUCAGACCUGGAGUGUUUGAACUGAGGAUAUUAAAAGAGAAGCUGAUGUGCACACAAGAGAACCCGAAGCACUUUGGUGUGAAUUUGGAAAGCUUGCCUUUGUAUUCUGUUUAGUUAGCCAAUAAAAGGUGUCAUUUCACUUUACUUUCUCCUAACUGGGAUCUGAAAGAGGCGACUGUCUGAAUGUACUCCAUGUAGCCAGAGGACGUCGCCUGCUCUACUCAUCUCCAUUCCAGCGAGUUUCGUUUCCAUUCUGCUUGUUUUAUGCUGCUGGCUUUGUGUCUUUAGAAGGGCAUCUGAAAAAAACUGUAAAAAAAUAACUUCACGAACCAUCAACACCUUCACCUGCUUCUGCUGCAGAUGCAGUGCUGAAAAAUAGGAAUAGGCUGCCAUCUCCACUUCAACGAAAAUGUGACAGCCUGUAAUGGAGGCCGGUGGUGUGCAGCAUUAACAGAUCACUAAUGUUCUACUGGAUAUUUCACACUGCCAAGAGAUGUUUGUCUUAAGAAAUCUCACAGAUAUUCAGCCAUAGACUAACAGUAAGCAAUGGACAAUGGAAUCCAAUCUCAAGUGUAAAGUCCAAAAAAAACUGUCUGAGAGACCAAAGCAAAUUACCUGCCAUCCUGGAAUGACGGCUUCAUCCCCUCCGUUGUGUCAUUUCUAUGCUGCCUCCACUUCCUAGCAUCAGCGAUGUCCCUGUCGCUAAGCAACAAAGGAAGGAGGGGCUUGGGGCGGAGCCUAAACAACAUCCCAACAGCAAGCAUUCACUCAGAAAUUCAGAAACCAAAGAUUCAGAAGAGCAGAAUGGAAAUCCUGUGACAGACUGGGAAAACCUGAGCGCGAUUUGGACAAAAUAUGAAAGUCUAUCAGCAGCAAUAAUCAGGGAAGGGUGACAUCUUUAUUCUUGUGUUUGUGUUCAUAUUAUGUGCUAUGGUGGGGCACUCAUGAAUAUAAACAUACUGAGUAGUUCUUUGAUUUUUAAAAUAUAGGAAGAUUUCUUCCAAGAAGAGUUAAUAAAAAAAAAAUCAAUAUUCUUAAUAUUCUCACUUUACAAGCUGAUCUACGAGCUCUCUAGACGCCUCCUAGAGGUUUAAAGACUGUGGUCUGUCAUAAGAGCUCCUCCUUACUUUCUCAGUUCUUGCCCAUGCAUGCCAGUCCUUCAUUGGCAUUCUUAAAUAUCACACUCAGGGUCUCGUUUCUGGCUCAUUACUCCUGUCGUUGUAUGAGGACUCUUUACAUGUACUGAGGUCCUGUGUGUUGUGUGUGUGGCACCCAGGAAGGCAGGGCCUCCUGCCACCACCAUUUGUGAGACCUCCCUCUGGCUAUUUAAGGCCCAGAGAGCUGGACUUGAGGCGGAGGUGCGUUGCUGUUUCUGAUGUCUAAUGUGAAUUUUAUUAUUUUCAUUUGGAAUUUGGAAUGUUUUUUUUUGCCUGCUUUCUGCUUUGGUCUUUGAAUAUUUCUGUUGGAUUGUGAAGGGGGAUUUGGUUACCAAGGGUUUGAAACCCUUUAUGUCAUUUUUUUCUUUCUUUGUGAAUAAAUAUAUUCAUUUAUAGAGA